UACGGAGGGGGCUAGCGUUGUUCGGAAUUAUUGGGCGUAAAGAGCUCGUAGGCGGUCUGUCGCGUCGGCUGUGAAAACCUGAGGCUCAACCUCAGGCCUGCAGUCGAUACGGGCGGACUUGAGUACUGCAGGGGAGACUGGAAUUCCUGGUGUAGCGGUGAAAUGCGCAGAUAUCAGGAGGAACACCGGUGGCGAAGGCGGGUCUCUGGGCAGUAACUGACGCUGAGGAGCGAAAGCGUGGGGAGCGAACAGG
rnacentral:rRNA from 1 species